ensembl:snRNA U6 U6 spliceosomal RNA
GCGCUCACUUCAGCAGCACAUAUACUAAAAUUGGAAUGAUACAGAGAAGGUUAGCGUGGCCCCAGAACAAGGAGGACAUGAAAAUUUGUGAAGUGUUCCAUAUAUUU